rnacentral:lncRNA from 1 species
CGCUCUAACUUAACCAAGAUAAGUAAAUUAGUGUAAAUAGGAAAGAUGGUAGAAUCAAAUAAGAACAAUAUUAAAGGUAAGAUAACAGUGAGUGAUAAUAUGGGAAUAGAGAGUAGAGCAAUCUAGUAUAUGGGCGAUGGUAGCAGAAUAGAGAGAAUAACUAUGGUUUCUCUACUUCAAAGGGGUAUGUCUAUGUCUAGGACGAACCACGUGAUAAGAGUACACCACAAAAGAUGCUUAUCCUUAGGCCGAUAAACCCUACCCGUCCUGCUAACGAGAGGUGGACUACAGAGGACCAACGUAACUGUCACCUACGCGGCCUACCACACGAUCCAGCUGGACAGGGGAUAUCCACAAGUA